rnacentral:rRNA from 1 species
AGGACGAACGCUGGCGGCGUGCUUAACACAUGCAAGUCGAGCGGAAAGGCCCUUCGGGGUACUCGAGCGGCGAACGGGUGAGUAACACGUGAGCAACCUGCCCCUGGCUCUGGGAUAGCCUCCGGAAACGGGGGUUAAUACCGGACAUGACCUGCUGCUGCAUGGCGGUGGGUGGAAAGUUUUUCGGCCAGGGUGGGGCUCGCGGCCUAUCAGCUUGUUGGGGGGGUGACGGCCCACCAAGGCGACGACGGGUAGCCGGCCUGAGAGGGCGACCGGCCACACUGGGACUGAGACACGGCCCAGACUCCUACGGGAGGCAGCAGUGGGGAAUAUUGCGCAAUGGGGGGAACCCUGACGCAGCGACGCCGCGUGCGGGAUGAAGGCCUUCGGGUUGUAAACCGCUUUCACCAGGGACGAAGCGAGAGUGACGGUACCUGGGGAAGAAGCGCCGGCUAACUACGUGCCAGCAGCCGCGGUAAUACGUAGGGCGCGAGCGUUGUCCGGAAUUAUUGGGCGUAAAGAGCUCGUAGGCGGCUGGUUGCGUCUGCUGUGAAAUCCCGGGGCUUAACCCCGGGCGUGCAGUGGAUACGGGCCGGCUGGAGGCAGGCAGGGGAGAACGGAAUUCCCGGUGUAGCGGUGAAAUGCGCAGAUAUCGGGAGGAACACCGGUGGCGAAGGCGGUUCUCUGGGCCUGUACUGACGCUGAGGAGCGAAAGCGUGGGGAGCGAACAGGAUUAGAUACCCUGGUAGUCCACGCCGUAAACGUUGGGCGCUAGGUGUGGGUCCCUUCCACGGGGUCUGUGCCGCAGCUAACGCAUUAAGCGCCCCGCCUGGGGAGUACGGCCGCAGGCUAA